ACUCAUAUAGUUUAAACAAAACUUUACUCUUUCAAAGUAAAGAUCUAUUAAUUAGUUUG
rnacentral:tRNA from 1 species